GCGGAAUUUUGCACCAACAGAAUUGGCGCUAGAGGAAGGAUCCCCGUAUCUUCGCAGGACCCUUAUUCUUAAAGGAGUACUCAGCGGAAUUGUCUUCGAUCAUCUUCUUCGAUAUUUUCUCCUUCUUCUCCCGCCAGAUCUCCACCUGAUGCCUCCCCGGAAGGCAUCCACCAGGCGAUCCACAACCUCCGCGGUCAGAUCUCAGCGAGGCC
rnacentral:lncRNA from 1 species